rnacentral:rRNA from 1 species
AUACGGAGGGUCCAAGCGUUAUCCGGAAUCAUUGGGUUUAAAGGGUCCGCAGGCGGUCAAUUAAGUCAGAGGUGAGAGCCCAUCGCUCAACGAUGGAACUGCCUUUGAUACUGGUUGACUUGAGUUAUACGGAAGUAGAUAGAAUAAGUAGUGUAGCGGUGAAAUGCAUAGAUAUUGCUUAGAAUACCGAUUGCGAAGGCAGUCUACUACGUAUAUACUGACGCUGAGGGACGAAAGCGUGGGGAGCGAACAGGAUUAGAAACCCUAGUAGUCC